CCUAAUACAUGCAAGUCGAACGCUUUGUGGUUCAACUGAUUUGAAGAGCUUGCUCAGAUAUGACGAUGGACAUUGCAAAGAGUGGCGAACGGGUGAGUAACACGUGGGAAACCUACCUCUUAGCAGGGGAUAACAUUUGGAAACAGAUGCUAAUACCGUAUAACAAUGACAACCGCAUGGUUGUUAUUUAAAAGAUGGUUCUGCUAUCACUAAGAGAUGGUCCCGCGGUGCAUUAGCUAGUUGGUAAGGUAAUGGCUUACCAAGGCGAUGAUGCAUAGCCGAGUUGAGAGACUGAUCGGCCACAAUGGGACUGAGACACGGCCCAUACUCCUACGGGAGGCAGCAGUAGGGAAUCUUCCACAAUGGGCGAAAGCCUGAUGGAGCAACGCCGCGUGUGUGAUGAAGGGUUUCGGCUCGUAAA
rnacentral:rRNA from 1 species